GUGCUUGCUUCGGCAGCACAUAUACUAAAAUUGGAACAAUACAGAGAAGAUCAGCAUUGCCCCUGUGCAAGGAUGACAUGCAAAUUCAUGAAGCGUUCCGUAUUUUU